AUGUUACAUUCAUCCCCUCUCCAUCUCGUCAUCUUCGUGCGCGUGACCAUAUCCAGCAGCUCUGCCUCAUCGUCGCCACCUCCCAGGACCCUUCUCCCUCUGCGGAAACCUCCUCGUCGGUGUUCUUCGCCGCGCGCCCAUAGGCGAACAGUGGCCGACACGGCUUUAAUGGCGCUUGUCUCUUCUUCCCCAUGCCCCCUUGGCUCCCUCUGCCACCAUGAGCUCCUCCAUGUUCCUCCUCUGUCGCCUACCUCCAAGCUCGCGCGUGUGCACAUGCGUCCAUGGCUACGGCCACGCGUCCACGGUGACGCCUGCUCAGUCUCCUCCUACCCUUGCUAUUUAAGCCCACCCCAAGCUCCCUCGACCGCACUAGUAGCUCCCUCUCACUCCCAGAAGCCACCCCGAAUCCUCGGUCCAUCGCCAGAGCCACUCCUCGACCUCCAUGGGCGCCACGGCCACUGGACUUCUCCGCCUAAAUUUACUCGCUGCCGAGCCCCUCCCUCCUUCUCUUCAGCACUCGGAGCUCUCCCUCUGCCCGGCGCAUCUUUCCCUUAUCUCUGUUCGUCAGCGGAUCCACCAUAG
rnacentral:rRNA from 1 species